UCGAAAAUAAAGAAGAAAGAAAAAAAAAACCAAAUCUGGUUUUUGUUAUUCGAUCUAAUAGGCCCACGAUUAGACACUAGGCUUGCUACCAUCAUCUCCGGCUGGCGAAUGGUGCUGCACCAACACUUUAGUACCUUCAUCCUUCGAACGCAACUCCCCACGAGCAGCAAUCAUAGCAAUGACUUCUCUGAGUGCAUUGCUGUUAAGGGGCUUUGAAUCCUUGUUUGCCGGGGGCAAAGGUACCACAUCAUCAUCUAUGAUUAAGCUCUCCGUCUUAUCCAUGGAGAAGGUCCGAGAUCUAAAUCGAUUACAAUUGGAGACGGCAGAUCUCGUUCUGUAACUAAAGAAAAGGGAAUAAAACACACGAACUUAAUAAAUAACAGAUUCUUACUAGGCUUUUAGGUUUUCCAUAUGUCUUUUUAGUUAAUGGGCUUUCACUAAUUACGACACAAAUAUCUAUCUAAUGUUGUCAGACGUCUUUUUCGACGACGACAUAUGUUGUCAGACGUCUUUUUCGUUUAUGGUUAACUGUAUGACUCUUCUCUAUCUGUUUCUGACAUCUUCUUUACACAUUUUACAGUUCAGAAUUGAAAUCAUAACAAUCAGAAUUGACAUCUAUUUGUAGUUAACUUAUCUGGGAUGAUCUGUGCUACGCUGUGCAGGAUUAUCAUUUACUUACCAGCUCAUAUAUCUACUGGAUUUUAUUCCCUCGGGCUUCAAGCUCUUGGGGUUCGAGUUUGUCGAGCUACAGGGCAAGAACUGGUAUCCACUUCAUGAAAUUUAUCCUCUGUAUGAUUGGUGUUAGUGGACGCCCUUUAAAUCGCACGUCGUAUUCAGGGGAUUUGAAGAGAAGGGUGACAUGAUUAAACCAACACCGAUCUUUGUAGUCAUUCAAGAGCUUGAGCAGUUUCCAUUCUCCCAGGAUACCUGGGAGCAUGUUCGGAUCAAUGGAAAGGUUGAGGUCAUUGAUGCCUCAAAUUCUGACCAGACCAAGCUUCAGUUGCUAAGGAGAAGGCUUCGUUUGCUAAUUCUCUAAAGUCAAGGCUGAUGUACAUCUGUCCUGCGCCUGGUACUCCUUACAACAGUGAGCAAUCAAAUCAAGAAGCUUGCUAUAGAAAGCUAAAGAAAGUAGAGAGGCAGAGCAAGAGAGAAUUGUGAGGCUGGAGCAAGAACAUGCAGACAUUCUCCAGCUAAAAGCUAACGAAGCAAAGAGGAGGCUGAUUGGUGGACUAUUUGUAAAAACGUGGACAGUAUUCAAACUCUAGAUGCAAAUCUGUUUCAUUACUUGAUUUGCUAACGCCACUGUAUGUGCAGGUUGCAGAGUUUAAACACCCCCUCCGUGUUAAGCUAACACCAAAGAGUGAAUACUUGUGCUUCCAAAAGAAUUUGAUACUACAACCGCUCGGUGUUUGUGCACCAGUAUUGGAAGGAUUCUAGGUCAGCCUGACGUUUUCUCCGUCGAAAUUAUGCAUCGGUGGCACAAAGUACAUAGUAAUCCAAUGAGUCAGAUGCUGUCAUUCGAGGGAAGAAGAUAACAUGACUGGUUCUGAUGAGUUUCUUGCUUUUUUGGUAUAAAACUUUUGCCUUUUUGUUUCAAGGCAGUUGUUUUUAAUGAAUCAGUGUUAUAUCUUGGUUUACGUUGUAGGGAUCUGGUGGUGUUACAAUCAAAAAGACCACCCAACCUUUGGUAUCUUCUGUGAUAAUAUGGUUGUAAAGAGGUUUGGUGACUACCUGAUUGAAUCAGGGCUCUGAAACUUAAGCUGCUGCUAUGUUCAUGUCGCCCAUAUUGUCUUCAUAUUGGAAAGACAAAUAUUUUUAUUA